rnacentral:rRNA from 1 species
GCAAGUCGAACGCGAAAGCACCUUCGGGUGCGAGUAGAGUGGCGGACGGGUGAGUAACGCGUGGGAACCUACCCAGUAGUGGGGGACAACCCGGGGAAACCCGGGCUAAUACCGCAUACGCCCUACGGGGGAAAGCGGGGGAUCUUCGGACCUCGCGCUAUUGGAUGGGCCCGCGUCCGAUUAGCUAGUUGGUGAGGUAAGAGCUCACCAAGGCGACGAUCGGUAGCUGGUCUGAGAGGAUGAUC